rnacentral:tRNA from 1 species
GCGGGUAUAGCUCAAUUGGUAGAGUGCUAGCUUCCCAAGCUAGAAGUUGCGGGUUCGAUCCCCGUUACCCGCUCCA